CCAAUAGCGUAUAUUAAAGUUGUUGCAGUUAAAAAGCUCGUAGUUGAAUUUCGGGAUCAAUAUGUCGGUCGUGCCUCCGGUACGUACUGGCAUCAUUGAUUUCUCCCUUCUGACGAACCACGAUGUCAUUAAUUUGGUGUCAUGGGGAGUCAGGACUGUUACUUUGAAAAAAUUAGAGUGUUUAAAGCAGGCUCACGCUUGAAUACAUUAGCAUGGAAUAAUGAAAUAGGACGUUUGACCCUAUUUUGUUGGUUUCUAGGAUCAACGUAAUGAUUAAUAGGGAUAGUUGGGGGGCAUUAGUAUUCAAUUGUCAGAGGUGAAAUUCUUGGAUUUAUUGAAGACUAACUACUGCGAAAGCAUUUGCCAAGGAUGUUUUCAUUAAUCAAGAACGAAAGUUAGGGGAUCGAAGACGAUCAGAUACCGUCGUAGUCUUAACCAUAAACCAUGCCGACUAGGGAUCGGAUGAUGUUAAUUUUUUAAUGACUCAUUCGGCGCCUUACG
rnacentral:rRNA from 1 species